rnacentral:rRNA from 1 species
UACGUAGGGAGCAAGCGUUGUCCGGAAUCAUUGGCGUAAAGCGCGCGUAGGUGGCUUCGUAAGUCCGUUGUGAAAGUCAAAGGCUCAACCUUUGAAAGCCGAUGGAUACUGCGGAGCUAGAGUACGGAAGAGGCGAGUGGAAUUCCUGGUGUAGCGGUGGAAUGCGCAGAUAUCAGGAGGAACACCAAUAGCGAAGGCAGCUCGCUGGGACGUUACUGACACUGAGGCGCGAAAGCGUGGGGAGCGAACAGG